rnacentral:tRNA from 1 species
CAGAUUAUAGCAUAUAUUAAAAUGCCUCUUAUUUACACUAAGAAGAAAAUAUUUAUUUAAUCUGA